CCAAGGAAUGUCAAAAUAUCUUUGCCUUGAGAAAACCCACACCUUUGGAAAGAAAAAGAGAGAGAAUCAGCUUUGAAGCAAAGAGAGAAAGGAAAAAAGGAAGAAAGGAAGAAAGAAAGAAUGGAGAAAGAAGAAAAAGACAAGGAAGGUUUGACCUAGUGGUUCCAAGCUAAGGAAGGUAUGUAGAGCUUUGAUUUUAGUUGUGAUUUCUUGAGGAGAUGAGUUGGUAAUUGUGUGAGAAUGUUUAUGGCAACAAAGGUCCUCCAAGAAUUGAAAGAAAUAGAUCCAUGCUUAUGGGUCAAUCUUGGAAUCCAUGGUGAUUUUGAGCUAGAUAAGUUAUGGCAAUGGUUACCAUCAGUGUGAGGAAAUUGUGAGCUAUAUGUAUGAAAUUCAAGUUAAAACCGAAAGGAAGCGUAUAAGUAGAGAGGUUGCUAUGGUGGCGUGCCGGAGGAAGUAACAGGUGAUCAGCAAGUAGAAUUAGCUAGAUACGCAUCCGAGUCAAUAGCAAAGUAGUAUCCUGCUAUUGUGAGAUAGUGAUCGGCCUAAUGUGCAAUCAUCGGCACUUAUGGUUCACUGCGGAUAGGUAAAGGCAUCUUAUAGCAUUUCAUUCUGAGUUACUCCGUUGUUAGAGGUUGAGUCAUUUGUAGCAUAAUUUGAUUAUAAAUAGUAUUAAUGUAAAGGUAUGGUUGUAUAUUAAAAACCUUAAUGUACUUCUACAAUUAUGUUGAAUAAAAGUUG